rnacentral:rRNA from 1 species
CACUCCCUAAACGAUGCGAACUGGAUGUUGGUCUCAACUCGGAGAUCAGUGUCGAAGCUAACGCGUUAAGUUCGCCGCCUGGGGAGUACGGUCGCAAGACUGAAACUCAAAGGAAUUGACGGGGGCCCGCACAAGCGGUGGAGUAUGUGGUUUAAUUCGAUGCAACGCGAAGAACCUUACCUGGCCUUGACAUGUCCGGAAUCCUGCAGAGAUGCGGGAGUGCCUUCGGGAAUCGGAACACAGGUGCUGCAUGGCUGUCGUCAGCUCGUGUCGUGAGAUGUUGGGUUAAGUCCCGCAACGAGCGCAACCCUUGUCCUUAGUUGCCAGCACGUAAAGGUGGGAACUCUAAGGAGACUUCCGGUGACAAACCGGAGGAAGGUGGGGAUGACGUCAAGUCCUCAUGGCCCUUACGGCCAGGGCUACACACGUACUACAAUGGUCGGUACAGAGGGUUGCAAUACCGCGAGGUGGAGCCAAUCCCAGAAAGCCGAUCCCAGUCCGGAUCGAAGUCUGCAACUCGACUUCGUGAAGUCGGAAUCGCUAGUAAUCGCGGAUCAGCUAUGCCGCGGAGAAUACGUUCCCGGGCCUUGUACACACCGCCCGUCACACCAUGGGCAGUGAGUUGCUCCAGAAGCCGUUAGUCUAACCGC